GUUCUCUCCGAGGGAGCAGGAGAGAGGCCACGGGAGCUGCGGGGAGCGGCAGCGCUCAGCGGGGAGAGGAGGAGCAGGGUGAAAGGGCAUUUCAUCUUCCAGAAGACUAAUUAGAGAAGCUUUCACGGACCCAUAAUAUAGAUAAGACUGUUCUUAGUGAUGUGGUGCAGGAGGAAGAUGCCCCUUUACGUAACUAAACCAGAACUGAAACCCCUGCUCUGAUGUUGGGUAACCAGGCACCUCACCUAAGCCAAAAUGGCCUGCAGCUUCUCCCCAGAGGAAUGGCUUGUGUUGUGCGACACAGUUCUGCUCCACGGGGCUGUGGUUUGAAGCAGUACCUACAAACUCCCAGUGCCUCCAGGGAGGAGGAGAAUAUCUGCAGAAAAAAACCCCACAGCGCUGUGUGGGAGAUGCUCCCUG